GAUGAACGCUGGCGGCGUGCCUAAUACAUGCAAGUCGAGCGAACGGACGAGAAGCUUGCUUCUCUGAUGUUAGCGGCGGACGGGUGAGUAACACGUGGAUAACCUACCUAUAAGACUGGGAUAACUUCGGGAAACCGGAGCUAAUACCGGAUAAUAUUUUGAACCGCAUGGUUCAAAAGUGAAAGACGGUCUUGCUGUCACUUAUAGAUGGAUCCGCGCUGCAUUAGCUAGUUGGUAAGGUAACGGCUUACCAAGGCAACGAUGCAUAGCCGACCUGAGAGGGUGAUCGGCCACACUGGAACUGAGACACGGUCCAGACUCCUACGGGAGGCAGCAGUAGGGAAUCUUCCGCAGUGGGCGAAAGCCCGACGGAGCAACGCCGCGUGAGUGAUGAAGGUCUUCGGAUCGUAAAACUCUGUUAUUAGGGAAGAACAUAUGUGUAAGUAACUGUGCACAUCUUGACGGUACCUAAUCAGAAAGCCACGGCUAACUACGU
rnacentral:rRNA from 1 species